UCAUUAUUACUUCGGUCUCUGGUGGCUGUUACUCUUAUGUACUCCAUGCGAGCUAUUCUCACGUUUCUAUGCCUACCUCUUUCUCCACUCUUCAAAAAUGAUCUUUCUCUCAUUCUUUCCAAAACUACCCUCCUCGGCAUCCCACGGCCAAGCAAGGAAGGGAGAAGUGUGAUUCGGGCCCAAAAUCCCGCUUCACCUCGACGCCCGCCUACCCGAAGCAAGAAGGGGAGAUUUCUUCUUGAGGUUGGUAGUGUAUUGCGCUUUUCCGGUCUGCCACGUUUCGCUAUUUCGCUAAUGUCAUUGGCUGGUCUGUGAGCUCGCCUUUCGCUGUUUAAAAUAUGCCCAGAUGCCUCUAACCAGUAUUAAAUUUUUUUAAAAUUGGCGAUUUGGGAUAUAAAAGUAAAGAUCCUCAGUAAAACGAAGACAUCCUGUCGUACCAUGAAAAAUGGUCAAACCCGGCUGACAGACUAAAAGCAAAGAGAUUAAGCAAAUCUGGAUGAUUGAAGAAUACCUAACGACUGCAGUCUCAA